rnacentral:lncRNA from 12 species
CGCUAUGGGACUAGCAUAAAAACAGACACAUAGACAAAUGGAACACAACUAAAAACUUGGAAAUAAACUCUCACAUAUAUAGUCAUUUAAUAUUUGACAAGGAAGCCAAGAAUACUCAAUGAGGAAAGGAUAGUUUCUUCAAUAAAUGAUAUUGGAAAAACUGGAUAUCCACAUGCAAACAAAUGAAAUUAGAGUACUAUCUUAUACCACUCACAAAAAUUUACUCAAAAUAGGUUAAAGACUUAAAUGUGAGACCUGAAACCAUAAACUCCUAGAAGAAAACAAGGAAAAUCUUGACAUUGGCCUUGACAACAGUUUUUUGGAUGUGAUACCAAAAGCACAAGCAACAAAAGUAGAAAUUAGAAAGGAGAAGUACAUCAAACUAAACAGCUUUUAUACAAUAAAAUAAACAAUCAACAAAAUGAAAAGACAACCUGCGAAAAAGAAGAAAGUAUAUUUGCAAAACAUAUAUCUGAGAAGGGAUUAAUAUCUGAAAUGCAUAAAGACUUCAUAUAACUCAAUAACAAAAAACCAAACAGUCCAAUUUAAACAUGGGCAAAGGACCUAAGUAGACAUUUUUCUAAAGAAGACAUACAAAUGGGCAACAGAUAAAUGAAAAGAUGCUCUUCAUCACUAAUGAUCAGGAAAUGCAAACAAAACCACAUUGAAUACCUUAACUUUAAACCAUCAUGGUGUAUACUUUAACCUUAAACAAUAUGUCAAUUAUAUCUCAGUAAAGCUAGGGAGAAUAAAAAAAACAUCAUUUCUUUCUUUUCUUAAAAGAUUUUAUUUAUUUAUUGAAGAGAGAGUACAGAAAAAGAGAGAGAGAGGGAGAAAGAGAGAGAGGGAGGGCAUAAGCAGGAGGGAGAGGCAGAGGGAGAGGGAAAAGCAGGUUCCCCCCUGAGCAGGGAGCUUGAUGCAGGGCUCAAUCCCAGAACUCUGGGAUCACAACCUGAGCCGAAGGCAGACAUCCAACUGACUGAGCCACCAAGGUACCCCACCUAACAUGAUUUUAAAGUAAUGCUGAUAGUAAACAAUAUUUCAAGAUAGCUGCAACACCUAUAAUGUGAUGAAAUAUGUGUG